rnacentral:lncRNA from 1 species
AAUGUGGCGACCCCAAAUCCGGAUACUUGAAACCCGAACUCGGUUCUCCACGAUACCAUUUCUUUAAGCUGAAUAAUACUAAAUAAUAAUAAUAUAAUUCGAACUUAAUUUACAUACAUCAAAGUUUACUUUCCCAGGUACGUGACCUUCAAAUACAUUCCUUACAAUACCUGACAAUAGAUUCCAUUGUCUUACUAACUAUAACCAUUAACUCAUACUAAAUCUCAUUCGAAUAGCUUUUCUUUUCCCUUGUUCGUGCCUGAGCCUUCAGGUCGAUCGUACGUAACUGAAAACAUUUAGUUUAAGCAAGGAUGAGCAUUUGAGUGCCCAGCAAGUAAUAGCAAUUAUAUAUAUAAGCUGAAAGAAUAUAAGUAUUCUCUUUACAUAACACUUCUACAACGAAUCGAAAGUUGUGAAGUAAUCUGUACUGAUAAAAAAUUCACAUAACAACUCUCUUUCAAAUUCUUUAAAUUUGGCUCUGGCUCUACCCUUGAAUAGGGUUUAAGAAACAUACUAUGAACAUU